rnacentral:rRNA from 1 species
AUGCUGGAGGUAUCAGAAGUGCGAAUGCUGACAUAAGUAACGAUAAAGCGGGUGAAAAGCCCGCUCGCCGGAAGACCAAGGGUUCCUGUCCAACGUUAAUCGGGGCAGGGUGAGUCGACCCCUAAGGCGAGGCCGAAAGGCGUAGUCGAUGGGAAACAGGUUAAUAUUCCUGUACUUGGUGUUACUGCGAAGGGGGGACGGAGAAGGCUAUGUUGGCCGGGCGACGGUUGUCCCGGUUUAAGCGUGUAGGCUGGUUUUCCAGGCAAAUCCGGAAAAYYAAGGCUGAGGCGUGAUGACGAGGCACUACGGUGCUGAAGCAACAAAUGCCCUGCUUCCAGGAAAAGCCUCUAAGCAUCAGGUAACAUCAAAUCGUACCCCAAACCGACACAGGUGGUCAGGUAGAGAAUACCAAGGCGCUUGAGAGAACUCGGGUGAAGGAACUAGGCAAAAUGGUGCCGUAACUUCGGGAGAAGGCACGCUGAUAUGUAGGUGAAGCGACUUGCUCGUGGAGCUGAAAUCAGUCGAAGAUACCAGCUGGCUGCAACUGUUUAUUAAAAACACAGCACUGUGCAAACACGAAAGUGGACGUAUACGGUGUGACGCCUGCCCGGUGCCGGAAGGUUAAUUGAUGGGGUYAGCGCAAGCGAAGCUCUUGAUCGAAGCCCCGGUAAACGGCGGCCGUAACUAUAACGGUCCUAAGGUAGCGAAAUUCCUUGUCGGGUAAGUUCCGACCUGCACGAAUGGCGUAAUGAUGGCCAGGCUGUCUCCACCCGAGACUCAGUGAAAUUGAACUCGCUGUGAAGAUGCAGUGUACCCGCGGCAAGACGGAAAGACCCCGUGAACCUUUACUAUAGCUUGACACUGAACAUUGAGCCUUGAUGUGUAGGAUAGGUGGGAGGCUUKGAAGUGUGGACGCCAGUCUGCAUGGAGCCGACCUUGAAAUACCACCCUUUAAUGUUUGAUGUUCUAACGUUGACCCGURAUCCGGGUUGCGGACAGUGUCUGGUGGGUAGUUUGACUGGGGCGGUCUCCUCCUAAAGAGUAACGGAGGAGCACGAAGGUUGGCUAAUCCUGGUCGGACAUCAGGAGGUUAGUGCAAUGGCAUAAGCCAGCUUGACUGCGAGCGUGACGGCGCGAGCAGGUGCGAAAGCAGGUCAUAGUGAUCCGGUGGUUCUGAAUGGAAGGGCCAUCGCUCAACGGAUAAAAGGUACUCCGGGGAUAACAGGCUGAUACCGCCCAAGAGUUCAUAUCGACGGCGGUGUUUGGCACCUCGAUGUCGGCUCAUCACAUCCUGGGGCUGAAGUAGGUCCCAAGGGUAUGGCUGUUCGCCAUUUAAAGUGGUACGCGAGCUGGGUUUAGAACGUCGUGAGACAGUUCGGUCCCUAUCUGCCGUGGGCGCUGGAGAAYUGAGGGGGGCUGCUCCUAGUACGAGAGGACCGGAGUGGACGCAUCACUGGUGUUCGGGUUGUCAUGCCAAUGGCACUGCCCGGUAGCUAAAUGCGGAAGAGAUAAGUGCUGAAAGCAUCUAAGCACGAAACUUGCCCCGAGAUGAGUUCUCCCUGACUCCUUGAGAGUCCUGAAGGAACGUUGAAGACGACGACGUUGAUAGGCCGGGUGUGUAAGCGCAGCGAUGCGUUGAGCUAACCGGUACUAAUGAACCGUGAGGCUUAACCUUACAACGCCGAAG